UACGGAGGGUGCAAGCGUUAUCCGGAUUCACUGGGUUUAAAGGGUGCGUAGGUGGCUUGGUAAGUCAGUGGUGAAAGCCCGGAGCUCAACUCCGGAACUGCCACUGAUACUGCUUAGCUUGAAUCAGGUCGAGGUGGAUGGAAUAUUACAUGUAGCGGUGAAAUGCUUAGAUAUGUAAUAGAACACCGAUUGCGAAGGCAGUUCACUAGGCCUGUAUUGACACUGAGGCACGAAAGCGUGGGGAUCAAACAGG
rnacentral:rRNA from 1 species